UACAGAGGGUGCAAGCGUUAAUCGGAAUUACUGGGCGUAAAGCGUGCGUAGGCGGUUCGUUAAGUCAGCUGUGAAAGCCCCGGGCUCAACCUGGGAACUGCGGUUGAAACUGGCGAACUAGAAUCUGGCAGAGGGGGGUGGAAUUCCACGUGUAGCGGUGAAAUGCGCAGGAGAAUCGGGAGGAACACCCGUAGCGAAGGCGGCACUCCUGGGCCGGUACGUGACGCUGAGGCAGCGAAAGCGUGGGGAGCAAACAGG
rnacentral:rRNA from 1 species